rnacentral:rRNA from 1 species
AUUGAACGCUGGCGGCAGGCCUAACACAUGCAAGUCGAACGAGUGGCGGACGGGUGAGUAAUGUCUGGGAAACUGCCUGAUGGAGGGGGAUAACUACUGGAAACGGUAGCUAAUACCGCAUACCAUCAGAUGUGCCCAGAUGGGAUUAGCUAGUCGGUGGGGUAAAGGCUCACCUAGGCGACGAUCCCUAGCUGGUCUGAGAGGAUGACGGGCCACACUGGGACUGAGACACGGUCCAGACUCCGACGGGAGGCAGCAGUGUGGAAUAUGGCGCAAUGGGCGAAAGCCUGAUGCAGCAAUGCCGCGUGUAUGAAGAAGGCCUUCGGGUUGUAAAGUACUUUCAGCAGGGAAGCGUUACCUGAAGAAGAAGCACCGGCUAACUCCGUGCCAGCAGCCGCGGUAAUUC